rnacentral:lncRNA from 1 species
CUCCUCCCCGUGGCCAGCAUAUCCCUGGGAUCCAAGACAGGUCCGCAUCAUACUGCCAGGGGAUCCUCGGGGUUAGGCACCCAGGAAUGGAUGGGAUGCAAGCAGGGCUGGGACUGGUGGCUGGCUCUAUUGUGCUCUGAUGCUGCAGGAACAGACCAGAUGUCAUCCAGGGGCCCGGAAUUUGGGGGGCGCCGCUGGGUGUGGCAGCAUCAGAAGCCUCAGAUCCACAUCUCCAUCUGCCACAGAUUUUCAUUCAUCAGUGCUUGACACUCCCCUACCUCUGCUAGAACACCAUAAGCAUGAAGGCCAAGAUCUUCGUCACUGCUUCACUUUUAUUCUUUCCUGUAUCCCAAGCACCAAGCAGCACAGUGUUUGGCACACAGUAAAGUGCUUAACAAAUAGCUGUUGAAUGAAUGAAUGUGCCUGCCACCAUCUCAUAUAUGUUACAGGCAUCACUGCUGCUGCUGGGCUUGUGGUCUGGUCUGCAGCCUUCUCGCCUGAACCGCUCACCUCCCAAGCUGCUUGCAAACUGAAUAAAGUUCUCCCA